rnacentral:rRNA from 1 species
AACGAACUUAACCAUUAGUUUACUAUUGGAGCGGUUAGUGGCGGACUGGUGAGUAACACGUAAGCAACCUGCCUAUCAGAGGGGAACAACAGUUAGAAAUGACUGCUAAUACCGCAUAUGCCUUAGAAUCACAUGGUUCAAAAGGGAAAGGAGCAAUCCGCUGAUAGAUGGGCUUGCGUCUGAUUAGCUAGUUGGUGGGGUAAUGGCCUACCAAGGCGACGAUCAGUAGCCGAACUGAGAGGUUGAACGGCCACAUUGGGACUGAGAUACGGCCCAGACUCCUACGGGAGGCAGCAGUCGGGAAUAUUGCGCAAUGGAGGAAACUCUGACGCAGUGACGCCGCGUGCAGGAAGAAGGUUUUCGGAUUGUAAACUGCUUUAGACAGGGAAGAACAAAGACAGUACCUGUAGAAUAAGCUCCGGCUAACUACGUGCCAGCAGCCGCGGUAAUACGUAGGGAGCGAGCGUUAUCCGGAUUUAUUGGGUGUAAAGGGUGCGUAGACGGGAAGUCAAGUUAGUUGUGAAAUCCCUCGGCUUAACUGAGGAACUGCAACUAAAACUGAUUUUCUUGAGUACUGGAGAGGAAAGUGGAAUUCCUAGUGUAGCGGUGAAGUGCGUAGAUAUUAGGAGGAACACCGGUGGCGAAGGCGACUUUCUGGACAGAAACUGACGUUGAGGCACGAAAGUGUGGGGAGCAAACAGGAUUAGAUACCCUGGUAGUCCACACCGUAAACGAUGGAUACUAGGUGUAGGGGAUAUUAAAAUUCUCUGUGCCGCCGCUAACGCAAUAAGUAUCCCACC